UAAGUAAAAGCGGCGGCAACUAUAAAUUCAAAGAAGGAAAAUAUUUCUUGGGAGAAGAUUUAUUGAUCAGAUUAGGAAAUUCAAGGGGUUUUAUAUUUAGAGACUUAAAGAAGAUUUUCCCUAUAGAAGAAGAAUAUAAUUUUAUUGUUGGAUUGGGUAUUCUAGAAUUUAAUUCUUUUUCUGCUUACGAUGAAAAGGCUUACUACCAAUUUGUGCAUAGCUCAUUUUAUGAAUUUAUUCGUGCCCUUAAUGGUUAUUAUGGUGAUUAUGUGUCUGAUAUUGGUGAUAUACAUAUUAAUGAGAACAUUAUAUUAUUUAUGAUGGGGCUUUCCGGAGAAGAACCAUUUCCGGAAAUGGUACAAAAUUCCUUUAAGAUGCGAUAUAUGAAACUUUGCCCUACAUAUUUAUAUAAACCUUGUUUCAUGCUUCGAGUUUACAGAGAAAUAAAAGUCAAAACCAACUGGGAGUUGUUUUGUUCUCUUUCUCACCUGGUGUUUUCAUAUAGAGACCUAGAUGAUGCUAAAGCAUUGUUAUCUCUGUAUAAUUUUACUCGAAUGCAGUUUAUUUUUCCAGAAAAUAAGUGUACUUACGAGAUAUUUAGAAACAACUUGAUU
rnacentral:lncRNA from 1 species